rnacentral:rRNA from 1 species
CACCCUUGUCUUUUGCGUACUUCUUGUUUCCUUGGUGGGUUCGCCCACCACUAGGACAAACAUAAACCUUUUGUAAUUGCAAUCAGCGUCAGUAACAAAUUAAUAAUUACAACUUUCAACAACGGAUCUCUUGGUUCUGGCAUCGAUGAAGAACGCAGCGAAAUGCGAUAAGUAGUGUGAAUUGCAGAAUUCAGUGAAUCAUCGAAUCUUUGAACGCACAUUGCGCCCUUUGGUAUUCCAAAGGGCAUGCCUGUUCGAGCGUCAUUUGUACCCUCAAGCUUUGCUUGGUGUUGGGCGUCUUGUCUCUAGCUUUGCUGGAGACUCGCCUUAAAGUAAUUGGCAGCCGGCCUACUGGUUUCGGAGCGCAGCACAAGUCGCACUCUCUAUCAGCAAAGGUCUAGCAUCCAUUAAGCCUUUUUUUCAACUUUUGACCUCGGAUCAGGUAGGGAUACCCGCUGAACUUAAGCAUAUCAAUAAGCGGAGGAAUAA